CGUCGUGAGACAGUUCGGUCCCUAUCCGUCGCGGGCGCAGGAAAUUUGAGAGGAGCUGUCCUUAGUACGAGAGGACCGGGAUGGACGUUCCGCUGGUGUACCAGUUGUGCCGCUAGGCGCAUCGCUGGGUAGCUAUGAACGGAAGGGAUAAACGCUGAAAGCAUCUAAGUGUGAAGCCCCCCUCGAGAUGAGAUUUCCCAUUCCUAUAUGGAAGUAAGACCCCUGAA
rnacentral:rRNA from 1 species